rnacentral:sRNA from 1 species
CUAGCUCCCUCUGAGUUGCGCUGGGCUUGGCUGCUGCACCAUGACCCUGGAGGCUAUCCGCUACACGCGGGGCUCCCUGCAGAUCCUAGACCAGCUGCUGCUGCCCCAGCAGAGCCGCUACGAGGCGGUGGGCUCGGUGCGCCAGGCCUGGGAGGCCAUCCGCGCCAUGAAGGUGCGGGGCGCCCCGGCCAUAGCCCUGGUGGGCUGUCUCAGCCUCGCCGUGGAGCUGCAGGCGGGCGCGGGGGGACCGGGACUCGCCGCGCUCGUGGCCUUCGUGCGCGACAAGCUGAGCUUCCUCGUCACCGCCCGGCCCACCGCUGUCAACAUGGCCCGCGCCGCCCGCGACCUGGCUGAUGUUGCAGCCCAGGAGGCGGAACAGGAGGGCGCUACGGAAGAGGCGGUCCGGGAGAGAGUGAUCUGCUGCACCGAGGACAUGCUGGAGAAAGACCUCAGAGACAACCGAAGCAUUGGGGACCUAGGAGCCCGCCACCUCCUGCAGCGGGUGGCCCCUAGCGGUGGCAAGGUGACUGUGCUGACCCACUGUAACACCGGUGCUCUGGCCACCGCUGGCUAUGGUACAGCCCUAGACGUGAAAUGGAGCUAUGCGAGCAUUGGGAAGAGCAUACCAGGCAGAGGGAACUGCCACUGCGAGGGCCCCUGGGUGGGACUGUGCUCGGUAAGACUUUGGCAAUCCACGUCCAGACUAGGAGCCUGCACCCCUGACCAAUGGACCACCCUGUCUGUUUGCCUCUCCCCUGGGCCUUCUCCUGGUGCGUGGGGCCCCGG